rnacentral:rRNA from 1 species
GAUGAACGCUGGCUCCAGGCUUAACACAUGCAAGUCGAGGGGAAACGACGGGGAAGCUUGCUUCCCCGGGCGUCGACCGGCGCACGGGUGAGUAACGCGUAUCCAACCUGCCUCUGACUGAGGGAUAACCCGUCGAAAGUCGGCCUAAUACCUCAUGGUAUCGUCUGCGGGCAUCCAACGACGAUUAAAGAUUUCAUCGGUCAGGGAUGGGGAUGCGUCUGAUUAGCUUGUUGGCGGGGUAACGGCCCACCAAGGCUACGAUCAGUAGGGGUUCUGAGAGGAAGGUCCCCCACAUUGGAACUGAGACACGGUCCAAACUCCUACGGGAGGCAGCAGUGAGGAAGAUUGGUCAAUGGGCGAGAGCCUGAACCAGCCAAGUAGCGUGCAGGAAGACGGCCCUAUGGGUUGUAAACUGCUUUUAUGCGGGGAUAAAGUGAGGGACGUGUCCCUCAUUGCAGGUACCGCAUGAAUAAGGACCGGCUAAUUCCGUG